rnacentral:rRNA from 1 species
AGAGUUUGAUCCUGGCUCAGAGUGAACGCUGGCGGCGUGCCUAACACAUGCAAGUCGAACGAGAACGGGUUAUAGUUUACUAUAACUGUCAGCUAAGUGGCGCACGGGUGAGUAAUAUAUAGUUAAUCUGCCCCAAAGAAGAGAAUAAUUGUUGGAAACGACUUGUAAUGCUCUAUAUGCCUUUAUCACAUAAGUGAGCCAAGGGAAAUAUUUAUAGCUUUGGGAUGAGACUGUACGGUAUCAGAUAGUUGGUGAGGUAAUGGCUCACCAAGUCUAUGACGCCUAACUGGUUUGAGAGGAUGAUCAGUCACACUGGAACUGAGACACGGUCCAGACUCCUACGGGAGGCAGCAGUGGGGAAUAUUGCACAAUGGAGGAAACUCUGAUGCAGCAACGCCGCGUGGAGGAUGACACAUUUCGGUGCGUAAACUCCUUUUAUUAGGGAAGAUAAUGACGGGUACCUAAUGAAUAAG